AUGGCUGCGAAUGAGGACAACCUGGCCAGCCACAGCCACUUACCAGAGGACGGCAGGUAUCAUAGCCCAUGGGACCCUGAGCAAAAGGCCUCUGUCAAGUCCCCUUUCCUCUACCCCUUGAAGCCCUGUAAGGCAGAUACUGCUUCUGUGACACUGGGCUGCCUGGUAAAGGACUACUUCCCUGAUCCGGUGACUGUGACCUGGUAUUCAGACUCCCUGAACAUGAGCACCAUGAACUUCCCUGCCCUCGGCUCUGAACUCAAGGUCACCACCAGCCAAGUGAUCAGCUGGGGCAAAUCAGCCAAGAACUUCACAUGCCAAGUGACACAUCCUCCGACCUCAUUCAACAAUAGUAUAACUAUCCCAGUUCGACCUGUCAACAUCACUAAGCCUACCUUGAAGCUACUCCACUCAUCCUGCGACCCCAAUGCAUUCCACUCCACCAUCCAGUUGUACUGCUUCAUUUAUGGCCACAUCCUAAAUGAUGUCACGGUCAGCUGGCUAAUGGACGAUAAGAAGAUACCUGAUACACUUGCACAAAAUUUCCUAAUCAAGGAAGAAGGCAAACUAGCCUCUACCUACAGUAAGCUCAACAUCACCCAGCAGCAAUGGAUGUCUGAAAGCACCUUCACCUGCAAGGUCACCUCCCAAGAGGAGAACUAUUUGGCCCACACUCGGAGAUGCCCAGAUGAUGAGCCACGGGGUGUGAUUACCUACCUGAUCCCACCCAGCCCCCUGGACCUGUAUGAAAAGGGGACUCCCAAGCUUACCUGUCUGGUGGUAGACCUGGAAAGUGACGAGAAUGUCACUGUGACGUGGACCCAGGAGCACAAGAAGCCUGCAGGCUCGGCAUCCCAGAGGACCAUCAAGCACUAUAAUGCCACAACUAGUAUCGCCUCCAUCCUGCCUGUGGAUGCCAAGGACUGGAUUGAAGGUGAAGGCUACCGGUGCAUAGUGGCCCACCCUGACUUUCCCAAGCCCAUUGUGCGUUCCAUCACCAAGGCCCCAGGCAAGCGCUCAGCCCCCGAGGUAUAUGUGUUCCCGCCACCGGAGGAGGAGAGCAAGGACAAACGCACACUCACAUGCUUGAUCCAGAACUUCUUCCCUGAAGACAUAUUUGUGCAGUGGCUGCAGGACGACAAGCCGCUCCCAGACACCCAGCAUAGUACCACGGCACCUCUGAAAUCCAAUGGCUCCAAUCAAGGCUUCUUUGUCUUCAGCCGCCUAGAAGUCACCAAGACGCACUGGACACAGAGAAAAAAGUUCACCUGCCGAGUGAUCCACGAGGCAAUUCGGGAGAGAACAAUAUCCAAGAGUCUUGGUAACGCCUCCUUCCACCCCUCCCAGGCCUCCAUGUAGCUGUGGUGGGGAAGGUGGAUGGCAGACAUCUGCUCACUGUUGUAAGCCCAGGAAGCUACCCCAAUAAACACUCAGUGCCU